rnacentral:rRNA from 1 species
UACGUAGGGGGCUAGCGUUGUCCGGAUUUAUUGGGCGUAAAGAGCGUGUAGGCGGCCUGGUAGGUCUGCUGUGAAAACUCGAGGCUCAACCUCGAGAUGUCGGCGGAAACCAUCUGGCUAGAGUCCGGAAGAGGAGAGUGGAAUUCCUGGUGUAGCGGUGAAAUGCGCAGAUAUCAGGAAGAACACCAAUGGCGAAAGCAGCUUUCUGGGACGGUACUGACGCUGAGACGCGAAAGCGUGGGGAGCGAACAGG